GACGAACGCUGGCGGCGUGCUUAACACAUGCAAGUCGAACGGAAAGGCCCUGCUUGCAGGGUACUCGAGUGGCGAACGGGUGAGUAACACGUGGGUGAUCUGCCCUGCACUUCGGGAUAAGCCUGGGAAACUGGGUCUAAUACCGGAUAGGAGCCAUUUUUAGUGUGAUGGUUGGAAAGUUUUUUCGGUGUAGGAUGAGCUCGCGGCCUAUCAGCUUGUUGGUGGGGUAAUGGCCUACCAAGGCGGCGACGGGUAGCCGGCCUGAGAGGGUGGACGGCCACAUUGGGACUGAGAUACGGCCCAGACUCCGACGGGAGGCAGCAGGGGGGAAUAUUGCACAAUGGGCGCAAGCCUGAUGCAGCGACGCCGCGGGGGGGAUGACGGCCUUCGGGUUGUAAACUCCUUUCGCUAGGGACGAAGCUUUUUGUGACGGUACCUAGAGAAGAAGCACCGGCUAACUACGUG
rnacentral:rRNA from 1 species